GACGAACGCUGGCGGCGUGCUUAACACAUGCAAGUCGACAAGAGCGGCGGACGGGUGAGUAAUGCUUAGGAAUCUGCCUAUUAGUGGGGGACAACAUCUCGAAAGGGAUGCUAAUACCGCAUAUUACUAGAUGCGCCUAAGUCGGUUGAGCUAGUUGGUGGGGUAAAGGCCUACCAAGGCGACGAUCUGUAGCGGGUCUGAGAGGAUGAUCCGCCACACUGGGACUGAGAAACGGCCCAGACUCCUACGGGAGGCAGCAGUGGGGAAUAUUGGACAAUGGGGGGAACCCUGAUCCAGCCAUGCCGCGUGUGUGAAGAAGGCCUUAUGGUUGUAAAGCACUUUAAGCGAGGAGGCGUUACUCGCAGAAUAAGCACCGGCUAACUCUGUGCCAGCAGCCGCGGUAAUUC
rnacentral:rRNA from 1 species